CCUACGGGAGGCAGCAGUGAGGAAUAUUGGUCAAUGGGCGGAAGCCUGAACCAGCCAAGUCGCGUGAGGGAAUAAGGCCCUACGGGUCGUAAACCUCUUUUGCCGGGGAGCAAGGGCCGGGACUCGUCCCGGCCCGGAGAGUACCCGGAGAAAAAGCAUCGGCUAACUUCGUGCCAGCAGCCGCGGUAAUACGGGGGAUUCGAGCGUUAUCCGGAUUUAUUGGGGUUUAAGGGUGCGUAGGCGGGCAGUUAAGUCAGCGGUAAAAAUUCGGGGCUAAACCCCGUACGGCCGUUGAAACUGGGGGCCUUGAGUGGGGGAGAAGAAGGCGGAAUGCGUGGUGUAGCGGUGAAAUGCAUAGAUAUCAGGCAGAACCCCGAUGGCGAAGGCAGCCUUCCGGCGCCCUACUGACGCUGAGGCACGAAAGUGCGGGGAUCGAACAGGAUUAGAUACCCGAGUAGUC
rnacentral:rRNA from 1 species